GACGAACGCUGGCGGCGUGCUUAACACAUGCCAGUCGAACGGAAAGGCUCCAGCUUGCUGGAGUACUCGAGUGGCGAACGGGUGAGUAACACGUGGGUAAUCUGCCCUGCACUCUGGGAUAAGCCUGGGAAACUGGGUCUAAUACUGGAUAUGACCUUUCUCCUUAUGGGGUUUGGUGGAAAGUUUUUCGGUGUAGGAUGAGCCCGCGGCCUAUCAGCUUGUUGGUGGGGUGAUGGCCUACCAAGGCGACGACGGGUAGCCGGCCUGAGAGGGUGAUCGGCCACAUUGGGACUGAGAUACGGCCCAGACUCCUACGGGAGGCAGCAGUGGGGAAUAUUGCACAAUGGGCGGAAGCCUGAUGCAGCGACGCCGCGUGAGGGAUGACGGCCUUCGGGUUGUAAACCUCUUUCAGCAGGGACGAAGCGUAAGUGACGGUACCUGCAGAAGAAGCACCGGCUAACUAUGUG
rnacentral:rRNA from 1 species